rnacentral:rRNA from 1 species
UACAGAGGGUGCUAGCGUUGUUCGGAAUCAUUGGGCGUAAAGGGCUCGUAGGCGGUUCGUCACGUCGGGAGUGAAAACUCGGAGCUUAACUCCGAGCCUGCUUCCGAUACGGGCAGACUAGAGGUAGGCAGGGGAGAGCGGAAUUCCCAGUGUAGGAGGUGAAAUUCGUAGAUAUUGGGAAGAACACCGGUGGCGAAGGCGGCUAUCUGGACCGACAUUGACGCUGAGGCGCGAAAGCGUGGGGAGCAAACAGG